rnacentral:rRNA from 1 species
GGUCCGAAUUGUAAUUUGUAGAGGAUGCUUUUGGUGCGGUGCCUUCCGAGUUCCCUGGAACGGGACGCCAGAGAGGGUGAGAGCCCCGUACGGUUGGAUACCUAGCCUCUAUAUAGCUCCUUCGACGAGUCGGGUAGUUUGGGAAUGCUGCUCUAAAUGGGAGGUAAAUUUCUUCUAAAGCUAAAUACCGGCCAGAGACCGAUAGCGCACAAGUAGAGUGAUCGAAAGAUGAAAAGCACUUUGAAAAGAGGGUUAAAUAGCACGUGAAAUUGUUGAAAGGGAAGCGUUUGCGACCAGACCUUUUCCGGGCGGAUCAUCCGGUGUUCUCACCGGUGCACUUCGCCCGGUUUAGGCCAGCAUCGGUUUUCGUAGGGGGAUAAAGGCCUGGGGAACGUAUCUCCUUCGGGAGUGUUAUAGCCCCUCGCGUAAUACCCUUACGGGGACCGAGGACCGCGCUCUGCAAGGAUGCUGGCGUAAUGGUCGUCAACGACCCGUCUUGAAACACGGACCAAGGAGUCGAACAUUUGUGCGAGUGUUUGGGUGUUAAACCCUCACGCGUAAUGAAAGUGAACGGAGGUGAGAGCCCUUCGGGGUGCAUCAUCGACCGAUCCUGAUGUCUUCGGAUGGAUUUGAGUAAGAGCAUAACUGUUCGGACCCGAAAGAUGGUGAACUAUGCGUGGAUAGGGUGAAGCCAGAGGAAACUCUGGUGGAGGCUCGCAGCGGUUCUGACGUGCAAAUCGAUCGUCAAAUCUGCGCAUGGGGGCGAAAGACUUAUCGAACCAUCUAGUAGCUGGUUACCGCCGAAGUUUCCCUCAGGAUAGCAGUGUUGUUUUCAGUUUUAUGAGGUAAAGCGAAUGAUUAGGGACUCGGGGGCGCUUUAUUGCCUUCAUCCAUUCUCAAACUUUAAAUAUGUAAGAAGCCCUUGUUACUUAGUUGAACGUGGGCAUUCGAAUGUAUCAACACUAGUGGGCCAUUUUUGGUAAGCAGAACUGGCGAUGCGGGAUGAACCGAACGUGGGGUUAAGGUGCCAGAGUGGACGCUCAUCAGACACCACAAAAGGUGUUAGUACAUCUAGACAGUUGGUAUGUACUAAUCUUUUCUUUCACCCCCUAAGGGUCCUAAAGGUUUCGAGGGGAUGGCCAGAUGCAAACUCUUCAUCGUGCCUUUAGGCACCCUGUGGCCUGAACUGAAGGAUCAAUGGACCUAAAGGUCUUUGUAUUUUUAACGAAAUUAAAUCACUAACAAUUUUCAUAGGACGGUGGCCAUGGAAGUCGGAAUCCGCUAAGGACUGUGUAACAACUCACCAACCGAAUGUACUAGCCCUGAAAAUGGAUGGCGCUCAAGCGUCUCACCCAUACCUC